GAUUUCUUCGGAUUGAAGCAACUGUGACUGAGCGGCGGACGGGUGAGUAACGCGUGGGGAACCUGGCCCAUACAGGGGGAUAACAGUUAGAAAUGACUGCUAAUACCGCAUAAGCGCACGGAACCGCAUGGUUUUGUGUGAAAAACUCCGGUGGUAUGGGAUGGCCCCGCGUCUGAUUAGGUAGUUGGUGAGGUAACGGCCCACCAAGCCGACGAUCAGUAGCCGACCUGAGAGGGUGACCGGCCACAUUGGGACUGAGACACGGCCCAAACUCCUACGGGAGGCAGCAGUGGGGAAUAUUGCACAAUGGGGGAAACCCUGAUGCAGCGACGCCGCGUGAAGGAAGAAGUAUUUCGGUAUGUAAACUUCUAUCAGCAGGGAAGAAGAUGACGGUACCUGACUAAGAAGCCCCGGCUAACUACGUGCCAGCAGCCGCGGUAAUACGUACGGGGCAAGCGUUAUCCGGAUUUACUGGGUGUAAAGGGAGCGUAAACGGAGCAGCAAGUCUGAUGUGAAAGACCGGGGCUUAAGCCCCGGGCCUGCAUUGGAAACUGUUGAUCUUGAGUGCCGGACGGGGUAAGCGGAAUUCCUGGUGUAGCGGUGAAAUGCGUAGAUAUCAGGAGGAACACCGGUGGCGAAGGCGGCUUACUGG
rnacentral:rRNA from 1 species